AUGGAUAUGGAUGGGUCGAAAAAGUUACAACUCUGGAAAGAAGUCGUCGAGGAUCAGAAGCAGAGAGCCAAGCUAUUGAGGCUGCUAGAGCCGAGGCAGAAGGUUGCAUUAGCUAAGGCGGAGGUUGCAUUAGCUAAUACGCAUGUAGAAGAAGCUAAGGCGGAGACGACAGAAUUUGAAAAGCAAUUUGAAGUAUUUAAGAAACAAAUGUUUGAUAUGUCGUAG